AUGAAGGGGUACUUGGUAGUUGUUGUAGGGUGGCCUUCGGUGGACUUGGUGGAAACCACGACGUGUGCAGGAGGCAUACGACUCCAAAACGCCCACGGCCAUGCGGAAGACCACGGAGCUCCUGUUAUGGGGAGUGUCCGUGGCGACGGCAGGACGCGAAGGAGGGCGGCAGCUGGGCUGCGGCUGCGAUUCCUACAAGCACGAAGCAGGGGAGGCGAGCGAGCGGUCUGUCUCGUCAACUCCUGUCGAACAGGAGCAGCGGCGGCUGCAACAGAAGCUUGGUGCGCGGCCAGAGCUUGGCGUCAGCGAGGGACGGCGAGGAAGGCGCGAGGCUGGACCGGCCGGAGCUCGAUGUGUUGCUGA
rnacentral:rRNA from 1 species